rnacentral:misc_RNA from 1 species
AAAAGAAUAAGGGAGAGAUUUGUAAAAAGAAGAAGUUUGGGUGAAAUUUUGGAAGAAAAUGUGAUAAAAACAAUAGCUUGGAAGGCUGUAACACGCAGAGAAUAAAAGAAGCCCUAGAAAACACUGCUACCAUGAGAUUUGCAUCAGUUAAAUUAUUGAGUCACGGUCAUUACCAUACUUAACAGUAAAUAACGGCUGUUACCAUUAAGUUACGGUGGUAAUGAGCGUUACUCAUACAUUUCUAAAUCUGCCUUUUGAAAAACAUGGUAAAGCAUUACGGCCUCCUUAAAAACUUGUAAAUAAUGGCCGUUAUGCCAUUAUGUAAAACCAUCAGAACAACUUAUUUUCACAUUAUCUAAAUAAAUGACUUAGCAUAAUUUCACUACUUCUUUAAUAAUUCUUUUCAAUUAAUAAUUAGUAAGACUUCAACUCAUAUAAAAAUAAAGAAUAAAACCUAAUCAUGCAAGAAUAAAAAUAAAGAAACUCAUAUAUAACGUCUACACACAGCAUGCCUUUAACAAUGAAAAUGUGGAACCAUUCAUAACCAUAGGCAAACAAACACUUGCCUGGCACAUGUUAUGAUGAAUGCUUUAUGAGAACAAGUUCUUAAAAACUAGCUGCUAAGGGAGAAAAAUGACAACAUUCGUUACUACUAUGUGGACCAUAACAUUCCAUUAUCCUUCUGCAUUUCACAUUUUCAAUGGUUCUCACUCUAUCAACAAUAGCCAAGCUAAAUGACCUCCUAUAAGUCUACUAGUAAUUUGAUUUGGUCUAAUGGGUAACCCUUUCUGAGUGUUGAGUUGCAAUAUGGAGUCCACUUCUAUACGAAUUGAGAAGUGCUUUAGGAGAACGUGCCUCUAAACCUAGUUGUUGGCAAAGAGAGCACCCUAGCUUAUCUACCCACAUCAAGCUCCCGAUAUACCCAAUGAAGGAUGUUGGAACGUAACACAAAUUUUCAUAUGAUAAUAUUCAAAUAUAAAAUGGGACAAAGACAACACAUAAAUGGAUAAGCAACUAAACACAAACCUUGCUGUACCCCAAGAACAGUCGCUGUGAGGAACCGGGAAUUUGGACGACCUCUUACUUGAGGUUUUUGAAGAUAAACAUGCAUACCUUCCUUAUCAGCUUGUCGGCGCAAUUCUGCUGCUUCCUUCAGAAGAAUUGCAGCUAUUCUGUUCUCCGUCUCCAAAUCCAUCCAAGACUGAAAAAACAAGCUCCAAAAUUUAACAGAGUAAUUCAUGGAUGAAAAAAAUAUAUGAUUAUAGACUCAUGGAAUUUUAUUUUAAAAAUAGCCAAUUGUCUUGAAGUUCAAAAGCUAAGUUUUAAGAGCAAGUAAAAAGUUCCUAAUAGGAGGGCCUAACCCUGAGAAUGAAAGAAGGGUAUCUUUUUAGAAACACAGAAAACACGUAUAACAGAAAUAACAUUGAAAGAAAGACCGAUCAAUAAGAAAGACCAAGCAAUAUUAUAUAGAAAGGGAAAAACUAUAAAUUCAAUUAUGAUAUGAAACAACGAAAGAAUCUGCAAAAGGAUCAUCAUAUUUCUAUUUUAUAGCAGAAAGCAAAUCAAAAAGUCAUAUUGAAACCCAAAACAUUCUAAUUUCCAUCAAUCAUAAUCUUCUAGAGCAAGUUAAUCAUGAGGGCCUUCUCAUCACAUAUAAACUCACUCCUUAACACCCCACACAGAAACUAAAUUGAUCCUUAUAUAGGGGAAAAAAGGAAAGGAAGCAAAU